AGGCCUUCGGGUUGUAAAGCACUUUUGUCCGGAAAGAAAUGGCUCUGGUUAAUACCCGGGGUCGAUGACGGUACCGGAAGAAUAAGGACCGGCUAACUACGUGCCAGCAGCCGCGGUAAUACGUAGGGUCCAAGCGUUAAUCGGAAUUACUGGGCGUAAAGCGUGCGCAGGCGGUUGUGCAAGACCGAUGUGAAAUCCCCGAGCUUAACUUGGGAAUUGCAUUGGUGACUGCACGGCUAGAGUGUGUCAGAGGGGGGUAGAAUUCCACGUGUAGCAGUGAAAUGCGUAGAGAUGUGGAGGAAUACCGAUGGCGAAGGCAGCCCCCUGGGAUAACACUGACGCUCAUGCACGAAAGCGUGGGGAGCAAACAGGAUUAGAUACCCUGGUAGUCCACGCCCUAAACGAUGUCAACUAGUUGUUGGGGAUUCAUUUCCUUAGUAACGUAGCUAACGCGUGAAGUUGACCGCCUGG
rnacentral:rRNA from 1 species